rnacentral:rRNA from 1 species
CCUACGGGAGGCAGCAGUGGGGAAUAUUGCACAAUGGGGGAAACCCUGAUGCAGCAACGCCGCGUGAGUGAAGAAGGAUUUCGGUAUGUAACGCUCUAUCAGCAGGGAAGAAAAUGACAGUACCUGACUAAGAAGCCACGGCUACCUACGUGACAGCAGCCGCGGUAAUACGGAGGGGGAAAGCGUUAUCCGGGUUUACUGGGUGUAAAGGGAGCGUCGACGGCUGCGCAAGUCAGAAGUGAAAGCCCGGGGCUCAACCGCGGGACCGCUUUUGAAACUGUGUAGCUAGAGUGCAGGAGAGGUAAGUGGAAUGCCUAGUGUAGCGGUGAAAUGCGUAGAUAUUAGGCGGAACACCGGUGGCGAAGGCGGCAUACUGGACUGUAACUGACGUUGAGGCUCGAAAGCGUGGGGAGCAAACAGGAUUAGAUACCCGAGUAGUC